AGUCAUAUGCUUGUCUCAAAGAUUAAGCCAUGCGUCUAGUAUAGCAAUUAUACCGUGAAACUGCGAAUGGCUCAUUAAAUCAGUUAUCGUUUAUUUGAUAGUACCUUACUACUUGGAUAACCGUGGUAAUUCUAGAGCUAAUACAUGCUAAAAACCCCGACUUCGGAAGGGGUGUAUUUAUUAGAUAAAAAGCCAAUGCCCUCCGGGGCUCUUUGGUGAUUCAUAGUAACUUAACGGAUCGCAUGGCCUUGCGCCGGCGACGGUUCAUUCAAAUUUCUGCCCUAUCAACUUUCGAUGGUAAGGUAUUGGCUAMCAUGGUUUCAACGGGUAACGGGGAAUGGGGCGGGGGCGGCGGGCCGGGCGCGGGGCGCGGCGGGCG
rnacentral:rRNA from 1 species